AUUGAACGCUGGCGGCAUGCUUUACACAUGCAAGUCGAACGGCAGCGCGGGCUUCGGCCUGGCGGCGAGUGGCGAACGGGUGAGUAAUGCAUCGGAACGUGCCCAGUAGUGGGGGAUAGCCCGGCGAAAGCCGGAUUAAUACCGCAUACGACCUGAGGGUGAAAGCGGGGGACCGAAAGGCCUCGCGCUAUUGGAGCGGCCGAUGUCGGAUUAGCUAAUUGGUGGGGUAAAGGCUUACCAAGGCGACGAUCCGUAGCUGGUCUGAGAGGACGACCAGCCACACUGGGACUGAGACACGGCCCAGACUCCUACGGGAGGCAGCAGUGGGGAAUUUUGGACAAUGGGGGCAACCCUGAUCCAGCCAUGCCGCGUGCGGGAAGAAGGCCUUCGGGUUGUAAACCGCUUUUGUUCGGGAAGAAAUCCUCUGGGCUAAUACCCCGGGGGGAUGACGGUACCGGAAGAAUAAGCACCGGCUAACUACGUG
rnacentral:rRNA from 1 species